UACGUAGGGUGCGAGCGUUAAUCGGAAUUACUGGGCGUAAAGCGUGCGCAGGCGGUUCGGUGUGUCCGUCGUGAAAGCCCCGGGCUUAACCUGGGAACUGCGAUGGAAACUAGCGAGCUGGAGUGUGGCAGAGGGGGGUGGAAUUCCGCGUGUAGCAGUGAAAUGCGUAGAGAUGCGGAGGAACACCGAUGGCGAAGGCAGCCCCCUGGGCUAACACUGACGCUCAGGCACGAAAGCGUGGGGAGCAAACAGG
rnacentral:rRNA from 1 species